rfam:Steinernema glaseri strain NC unplaced genomic scaffold GLAS_5489, whole genome shotgun sequence.
AGUCUCUGGAGUCGGCGCAGUUGACCGAGAAAUUCUUUCGCCUUUUACUAAAGAAUUCCGUGCGCCGACUCGCUUUAUGAGUUUAUCUCAAUUUUUGGGGUCCCAAUCUUCGGAUUGGGAU